GACGAACGCUGGCGGCGUGCUUAACACAUGCCAGUCGAACGGAAAGGCCCUGCUUGCAGGGUACUCGAGUGGCGAACGGGUGAGUAACACGUGGGUGAUCUGCCCUGCACUUCGGGAUAAGCCUGGGAAACUGGGUCUAAUACCGGAUAGGAGCCAUUUUUAGUGUGAUGGUUGGAAAGUUUUUUCGGUGUAGGAUGAGCUCGCGGCCUAUCAGCUUGUUGGUGGGGUAAUGGCCUACCAAGGCGGCGACGGGUAGCCGGCCUGAGAGGGUGGACGGCCACAUUGGGACUGAGAUACGGCCCAGACUCCUACGGGAGGCAUCAGUGGGGAAUAUUGCACAAUGGGCGCAAGCCUGAUGCAGCGACGCCGCGUGGGGGAUGACGGCCUUCGGGUUGUAAACUCCUUUCGCUAGGGACGAAGCUUUUUGUGACGGUACCUAGAGAAGAAGCACCGGCUAACUACGUG
rnacentral:rRNA from 1 species